CUGCGAACCAUCAUUCUCGGUUUCGCAUCAAUCAAACCUGUGUUUUGUUAACCCGACAUGUGCAUCUUCGGGUGCACCUAUUUAUUUACGCACAUAGUAACGCAAAAGAUUACACAACUGUUAGCAACGGAUCACUCGGUUCUCGUGUCGAUGAAGAGCGCAGCAAAGUGCGAAAAGUCGCGUGACAUGCACUGGUCGUGAAUCAUCGAGUUCUUGAACGCAGCUUGCGCCGCAGCCUGUGUAGGGAUGCGGCAUGCCUGUUUGAGCGUUGUCUUCUCGUCUGUCUCGCCACGCGGUGGACAGGAGCAUGGGUGUGCCUGGGCACGCCUGAAAUCGGUGGACGGUGCGUUCUGCGAAUGUGCGAGCGCACGCCGUCGUGCAAACCACCAACCUCAAAUCAGGCAGGAAGACCCGCUGGACUUAG
rnacentral:misc_RNA from 1 species